AUACCUUUCUCAGCGUUUUAGCUAAGGUCAAGUGUAGUAUUUGUUCUUAUCAGUUUAAUAUCUGAUAUGUGUGUCAUUGGUCUCACAUGAUACUAACUCAAUCUUUAAAGAGGGAAGGUCCAUUAGAGUAGCUUGCUACUUGGGUCUUCGCGUGUCCCCUAGGUGUUGAACUACAACCUUGGCUUGGCACACCCCAC
rfam:Capsicum annuum cultivar Zunla-1 chromosome 10, whole genome shotgun sequence